CCAAUAGCGUAUAUUAAAGUUGUUGCAGUUAAAAAGCUCGUAGUUGAAUUUCGGGAUCAAUAUAUCGGUCGUGCCUUGGUACGUACUGGUAUCAUUGGUUUCUCCUUUCUGACGAACCAUGAUGUCAUUAAUUUGGUGUUAUGGGAAGUUAGGACUGUUACUUUGAAAAAACUAGAGUGUUUAAAGCAGGCUUUAGCUUGAAUACAUUAGCAUGGAAUAAUGAAAUAGGACGUUCGAACCUAUUUUGUUGGUUUCUAGGAUCAACGUAAUGAUUAAUAGGGAUAGUUGGGGGCAUUAGUAUUCAAUUGUCAGAGGUGAAAUUCUUGGAUUUAUUGAAGACUAACUACUGCGAAAGCAUUUGCCAAGGAUGUUUUCAUUAAUCAAGAACGAAAGUUAGGGGAUCGAAGACGAUCAGAUACCGUCGUAGUCUUAACCAUAAACUAUGCCGACUAGGGAUCGGAUGAUGUUAAUUUUUUAAUGACUCAUUCGGCGCCUUAC
rnacentral:rRNA from 1 species